rnacentral:rRNA from 1 species
AAGAGAAGCGACCACGCGAGUGUGAGCGAAUCUCAAAAAUAACGUCUCAGUUCGGAUUGUAGUCUGCAACUCGACUACAUGAAGCUGGAAUCGCUAGUAAUCGCGGAUCAGAAUGCCGCGGUGAAUACGUUCCCGGGUCUUGUACACACCGCCCGUCACACCAUGGGAGUCAGUAACGCCCGAAGCCGGUGACCCAACCUAACAAGGAGGGAGCCGUCGAAGGCGGGACGGAUGACUGGGGUGAAGUCGUAACAAGGUAAC